UGGGGAAUAUUGCACAAUGGGCGAAAGCCUGAUGCAGCAACGCCGCGUGAGUGAUGAAGGCCUUCGGGUUGUAAAGCUCUGUCUUUUGGGACGAUAAUGACGGUACCAAAGGAGGAAGCCACGGCUAACUACGUGCCAGCAGCCGCGGUAAUACGUAGGUGGCAAGCGUUGUCCGGAUUUACUGGGCGUAAAGGAUGCGUAGGCGGAUUUUUAAGUGAGAUGUGAAAUACCCGGGCUUAACUUGGGUGCUGCAUUUCAAACUGGGAAUCUAGAGUGCGGGAGAGGAGAAUGGAAUUCCUAGUGUAGCGGUGAAAUGCGUAGAGAUUAGGAAGAACACCAGUGGCGAAGGCGAUUCUCUGGACCGUAACUGACGCUGAGGCAUGAAAGCGUGGGUAGCAAACAGGAUUAGAUACCCUGGUAGUCCACGCCGUAAACGAUGAGUACUAGGUGUAGGAGGUAUCGACCCCUUCUGUGCCGCAGUUAACACAAUAAGUACUCCGCCUGGGAAGUACGAUCGCAAGAUUAAAACUUAAAUGAAUUGACGGGGUCAUAGCUUUCC
rnacentral:rRNA from 1 species